rnacentral:misc_RNA from 1 species
UUAAUGAUCCUUGAUGGGAAAUCGCAGGCCAUCAGCGUAAAUGUUAGGAUCAGAUACCACUUCCUUAAUGCUCGUUUGUCCUUCAAGCAUACUCAGAGCAGCUGACAUUGUAGGCCUUAUCAUUGGUGAUGCAUUCGUGCACAAAAGAGCCACAUUAAGCAUCCUUUCAGCCUCUUCCACGUUGAAUUCAGAUUCCAACCUUGGGUCCACUAUCUCCAUUAAAUUUCCUUUUUGUUGUAAAAUAAAGGCCCAGUCAAGAAGACAAACAGCCUCAUUUUUUGGCCUGUAACUGGCAUUGCU